CAGACAUCCACCACCAUGCCUGCCUCAGAACUUUUAGGAAAAAAAAUUACCAUGGGACUUCACAGCGGUUAUUCUGGCGAGCAAGACAGCCUGAGUUGAUGGGAACCUUCAGGACUGUAGCCUCUGUUUCUCUGUCACAGGCGCACCAUGGAGACGUCUUGGGUCCAGCAGUCCUUGGCCACGGCCUCUCCAAGAAGGGCUGGAUCCCGGCCUGAAGGCUUUUCUCUGACUCUAUCUCAACCCCAAG
rnacentral:lncRNA from 1 species